AUGACCGGAGGAGGCUUCGUCAGAGACAAUAACAAAGAGUUUGAGGCAAAGAUAACUCCUAUCAUUAUCAUUUCAUGCAUGAUGGCUGCCAGUGAUGGUCUUAUGUUUGGUUACGAUGUUAGAGUUUCAGGUGGUGUGGCAUUAGCCACCAUUCUUGGAAAAAUUCUUUCCGAAAGUGUAUCGACAAAUUGCAGAAGAAGGAUCAGAAAGUAA